rnacentral:rRNA from 1 species
CCUACGGGUGGCAGCAGUGGGGAAUAUUGGACAAUGGGGGGAACCCUGAUCCAGCCAUGCCGCGUGUGGGAAGAAGGCCCUCGGGUUGUAAAGCACUUUCAGUGAGGAAGAACGCCUGGUGGUGAAUACCCAUCAGGAAAGACAUCACUCACAGAAGAAGCACCGGCUAACUCCGUGCCAGCAGCCGCGGUAAUACGGAGGGUGCGAGCGUUAAUCGGAAUUACUGGGCGUAAAGCGCGCGUAGGUGGCUUGAUAAGCCGGUUGUGAAAGCCCCGGGCUCAACCUGGGAACGGCAUCCGGAACUGUCAAGCUAGAGUGCAGGAGAGGAAGGUAGAAUUCCCGGUGUAGCGGUGAAAUGCGUAGAGAUCGGGAGGAAUACCAGUGGCGAAGGCGGCCUUCUGGACUGACACUGACACUGAGGUGCGAAAGCGUGGGUAGCAAACAGGAUUAGAUACCCUGGUAGUC